UAAAAAUUACUACUGAAAAGCAUUCCCUGCUCUAAAAAGUUCAGAUUCCAGAAAACUCUGAAAAGCUCAAAAAAUCCUCUCUCAUUUUUCUGAUUCUAUGUGAGUCAAGACAUGGCUUGAAUAGAAAAUUUUUCCUAGUUCUCUAGCUAGAUCUCCUGAUUUGAAGCUGGUUUUCUGUCUUAUUUUUAAUCCCUAGGCUAUUUCUUUUUUGGCUGCUGUUGUUUUGAUGCUAAUAUUUUUGAAGAUUCUCGAGAAUCUUUUCUUCUACCUUUUUGUUGAAUCCUUGUUAUUCCAGGAACUACUUAUAUCCCAAUGUAGUUUUCUUGCACACAAAUUUAUGAAAAUUUCAAACUUUACAAAUGGAUGUGCAAUAAAUAUUUUUUUGGAUAUUGUUUGAUUAUUCUUUGCUUUUAAAUAGUGUAAUGGUCAGUGUUAACAUGAACAAUGUGUUUAUUCAAUAGCUUGUUUUGUAUUAUAUUGCAGCAGUGUGAAAGAUUGAUGUUAAGGCUAAAUAUCAAUAAUUUCGACUCAUAUUUGAACACUUAGUCGAGAAUGUUGACCAUGUUUCUUAAGUAACGUUAUUUCUUUUUUUUUUCUCUCCAUCCGAUUUCCUUACUUAAAACUUUUUCUUUUUACUUGGUAAUGAGUUGAAACCUGUUGGUUCAGCCACCAGUAGACUGGAUCAAUUGGCUUAGAAGCUUCAAGGUGGGAUUUACCUGAUAACAAAGAAGACGAGGUUGAUAUGGACAAAGUCAUGUUCAAAGGGCGCAAAUAUCUUCUCCUAGCACAAUUUUGUAAUAGUUAUAUAGGCUAGAAUCAGAUUAGUCUGUUGUUUGGUUGUACUUGUUUAAAAAAGGAAGUAUUAUGGAUCCAAGUUUGCUACUAAUGUAAAUUUGUUGUUUAAACACUAAAGGUUAUGUAAUACUAG
rnacentral:lncRNA from 1 species